rnacentral:rRNA from 1 species
AUGGCGACGGCGACGGCGACGGCGACGUGCCUGCUGGCGGUCUGGGCGCUGGUCGCCGCCGGCCUGUUCGGCACGGGCCUCGCCCGGGCGUCCGUGGCCCCGGCCGCGGUGGGGAAGGAGCAGCGCGAGUUCGACUACUUCGCGCUGGCGCUGCAGUGGCCAGGCACCAUCUGCUCCUCCACCCGCCACUGCUGCGCCGUCAACGGCUGCUGCCGGUCGGAGGCGCUCCACACCUUCACGAUCCACGGGCUGUGGCCGGACUACGAUGACGGGACCUGGCCGUCGUGCUGCCGCCACACCAGCUUCGACAUGGACAAGUUAACGCCUCUGAAGCCCACUCUGGACAAAUACUGGCCGUCCCUCUACUGUUCGACCUCUUCCACCUGCUUCAGUGGCAGGGGCCCCUUCUGGGCUCAUGAGUGGGAGAAGCAUGGAACAUGCUCGGCCCCUGUUGUUCAUGAAGAAUUACAGUACUUCACCACCGCCCUUGAUCUCUACUACAAAUAUAACGUUACAGAAAUGCUGGCGACUGGAGAUAUCCUGGUCUCCAACGGUAAAGAAUAUGCACUGAGUGAUGUCAUUGAUACCAUCAAGCAUGCUUUUGGGGGCUCACCGCAGAUCAUAUGCAAGAAGGGCUCAGUUGAAGAACUAAGGUUAUGCUUCACCAAGGAUUUGAAGCCUCGCGAUUGCCUUACUACUUCGGCAAUGUACAAGAACCUAUCGAAGUCGAAGCAUUGCCCUAAAAAAAUCUCCCUGCCAACAUAUGAUCCCAUCGGUAAGUUUUAA